GAUGAACGCUGGCGGCGUGCUUAACACAUGCAAGUCGAACGGAAAGGCUCCUGCUUGCAGGGGUACUCGAGUGGCGAACGGGUGAGUAACACGUGGGUGAUCUGCCCUGCACUUCGGGAUAAGCCUGGGAAACUGGGGCUAAUACCGGAUAGGACGAUGGUUUGGAUGCCAUUGUGGAAAGUUUUUCGGUGGGGGAUGAGCUCGCGGCCUAUCAGCUUGUUGGUGGGGUAAUGGCCUACCAAGGCGUCGACGGGUAGCCGGCCUGAGAGGGUGUACGGCCACAUUGGGACUGAGAUACGGCCCAGACUCCUACGGGAGGCAGCAGUGGGGAAUAUUGCACAAUGGGCGCAAGCCUGAUGCAGCGACGCCGCGUGGGGGAUGACGGCCUUCGGGUUGUAAACUCCUUUCGCUAGGGACGAAGCGCAAGUGACGGUACCUGGAGAAGAAGCACCGGCUAACUACGUG
rnacentral:rRNA from 1 species